GGGAUUGUGGCUCAGCUGUAGAGCGCUCGCCUAGCACGUGCGAGGCCCUGGGUUCAAUUCUCAGCACCA
rnacentral:tRNA from 1 species